UGAGGCUUCUCCAACCCAAGCCACAAGCACUGCAGCUAAUCCAACUCCAACCACAAGCACUGCAGCUACUGCAGUGCCAGCCACAAGCGCUGCAGCCUGUCCAACACCAGUAACACACACUGCUGCUACUCCAACCCAUCAACAAGCAGUGAGGCUUCUCUAACCCAAGCCAUAAGAACUGUGACUACUCCAAGCAGGGCGAUAGGUACAUCAGUUACUCCAACACCAAGGACAGGCACUGUGACUUCUACAACUCCAGCAAUAUGUACUGCAGGAAUUCCAACCCUGGCAACAAGCACUGCAGCUACUUCAGUGCCAGCCACCACUGCAGCUACUCCAACCCAUCGACAAGCAGUGAGGCUUCUCCAACCCGAACCACAAGCACUGUGUCUACUCCAAGCACAGCGGCAGUCACAUCGCCUACUCCAAGACCAAGGACAGGCACUGUGGCUAUUCCAACCCCAGCAACAAGCACUGCGGCUUCUCCAGCCCCAGUGACAGGCACUGCAGCUACUCCAAUCCCGGCAGCAGGCACUGCAGCUGAACUAAAGAACCAGCGUGUGCCGUUAUCAGUUGCUCCUGUCCAGGGUGUUGGAAGAGCCCUGAGCAACGACCAGCGUUGAACAACUGAACCAGGAGAUAGUUCCUGCAGUGGCCCUUGGGCCAGUCUGCCCUGGGCAAGAUAUGAAACAUGCUCUGCCACUGCAGCGGGGAGAAUGGUGCAUGUAAAGAAUGUGCUGGGGAAACCAGUGUGGGGUAUUCCUGCCUCAGGCAAAGGCAAACUCAGUCAGGGGAUGGCUUCUGCUCAAGGACCUGGGUGCAUGUGGUGGGUGAUGCGGGAAGAUGGGCAAGUCCCGUCUGUGCCUCUACAUUUUCUACUUGUCAGGUGCUAAAAGCCAAUCUUUGGCAGUAGUGCAGGAUUCUCCUGCAUUAACAAUUCUCUUUCAACUCUGUGGUAUCUGCAGUGACAAGGUAUUUGUUGGGUUAGUGCUUGGGUUUAAAUAGGUCUUCCAAAUAAUUAUUUCACUUUGAAGAGAUACAUUUCUAGCACUAGUGGAUGUGAAGGUUUGAAUGGCUGUGCUUUGUAGUGAUGUGAAGCGAUGAAAUGUUUGUACUAGAAAUGUUUAAUACACUAAUUUUAAAAGGUUCUGGAGGUGGAUCUCCUGCAGUGCCGCACUGUCAGUUGACACGUGCGGGUCAUACAUAGAAAGAAGUAAGUUCUGUGAUCAGACGUUUUUAGCUGUAUUCUUGUUAAUGAGACCUGGGUUUGUUUUACCUUGAGGAUGUUCUUUUCUCCUCUGCUUGGGCAGCAGCAUCGCAGCAAUCUGCAAUAAAUGGCUUUUUUCACUGCAA